rnacentral:lncRNA from 1 species
AGUCUGCUGCCCAGGAGGGUGGUUGAGUUACCAUCACUGGAGAUGUUCAAGAAAUGUUUGGAUGCUGUACUAAAGGGCAUGGUUUAGAGGGGAAGUUAAGUUACCUUCAAAAAUAUAGGUGUGGUCCUAUGAUAAAAGUGGAGUCCCUUCAGGGUCUACAAGAAAUAAGCAGCAAACUACAUUCUACAUACAAGAAUAGAAAUACAAGAGGUAUAAGUACAGAAGAAAGAAUUUCAAUGUUUUAUGUAAGUAAAACUAUAUAAAUCAUUGUGAGAAUAUACAUGGAAUUUUUAAUAGAUUUUUACUUCGGCAGCUUCGAAUAUUUUAGAUUGCAUUGCCUAAAAGGAUUUGAAGUGGUUUGGAAAAAAAAAAUCCAAAGUUGGUUCUUUAUGUAAAUUUCCAACUGGAAAAAGAGUAUAAAAUAGUGACAGUAUUGUUUGUUGAUGUCCUCUAGUGAUUGUUAGCAAUGCAUUCUUGCACAUAUUGUUUCAGACAAAAAAAUUAGUAUUUUGCAUUAGCAGAGGAUAAUUAGGCAAUAAGAUACAAAAGAGAGUAGGGUUAUCAUGAGAUAAACACACACAUGGGGUGUUAUGAGGCACAGCCAAGUAUCUGCAAUCCCUCCAGGGUAUGAUUAUCUCGUGAUAACCGUACACCCUGGAGUUGCCUUAUUGCUAUUAUAAAAUAUAUUUAUUAUAGGAAAAAAUGCACAUUUUUGUGCUGAAAGAAGACGAAGGUGGCAAUUUAGAAUGCUGAACAGCUGAGCUGUGUGGUUUACAUAGAUUAAUCUAUCCCAUUGGAAUGUUUCCUCAGCCAAAAAAAUGUUACCUAAAUCCAAGCAGUCAUAAUCUGUAGUGAUGUGCGGCUAUUUGGAGUAUUUGAGAAAUUCCCUCCUUGGUUCUUAUGCUGUUUAUUUGACUGCAAGGUAUGCACAUAAAAAUAUGAGGACAUGGAGAAGAGUUAACAGGAUGCUGAGCAUUUUGAAUGUUUGGUAAUAUUUCCAAUGUCUGGAUUCUUCCAUUUCACUUUUAUGCAAACUCUAUAUAAACAAUUGAAAGCUUCAGAGAGUUGAAAAUGCUUCUAAAACUAAUUCAAAACUAUUGGGAGAGGGAAGUUAGAAAGUACAAACAAUGUCAAAAGAGCUUUAAAAGCUGGGUAACUGAUGAGCCAGGGAGACACAAGGAGAUUCUUCCGAGCAGAACAGUGAUUUUCUUAUCAGGUAUAGAGAUGAUGUAGCAAGGUGUAAAGGCAGGUGCAUAAAUAGACACUGGUAUCUUUGUACAAAACCGAAGCUUUGCCACCAUCUUCAGAAGACCAAGGUUUCUACAAGAAAAUACUUAGCAUCAGUCUACACUUACUUACAUAAUAGACUAGUCUAUGUAAAUAGCCUCUCUGAGUCCUACUGCCUGUCUUUGUAGAUAAAAGUUGGCAAUUAGAAUAAUGAAUUAAAAUAACUUUGUUUGGUUGGUUGCAACUUGGUAGAUGCAAAAAUCAUGUCUCUGAAAAACAUUUGUAGAAGCUCUUAUGGUUUUAGAUGUUUUAUCAACAGUUAUGCUUAAAUAUCUAUUCUUAUACUAUCAUUCUAUUAUUAAUGAAAAACAUUAUCAUAGAGUUAUAGAAUGAUUUGUAUUGGAAAGAACUAACCAUGCUCUAGUGUACAGUAUCAGUCUCUCUGACAUGGGCAGGGACACCUUCCACCAGACCAGAUUGCUCAAAUGCCCAUCCAACCCGUCUUUGGUUACCUUCAGAGAUGGGACAUUUACAAAUACUCUGGACAACCUGUCUCACUAUUUCUUCCUCAUAUCAACUCGAAAUCUACCGUCUUUUAGUUUGAAGCCAUUAUCCCUGUCCUUCACUCCCUAAUAAGGAGUUCCUCUUCAACUUUUUCAUAGGCCCCCCUUUAGGUACUGGAGGGGUAUAUUAUCAUAUUUCAGUGCAACAGUUGGAAAUCGUUUCUUUAAGUUUGUAAUAUUAUUGAACAAAUAUUAAGAAGAAAUAAGCAUUGAAGUAGCUUACAAAUUGUGUGUUAAAAUGUAAUCAAUAUUUGUAUUAAUGUUUGGGCAUAAAAACACAGAAAGAGAGCCUUGCAGAAUUUAUUUCUGCUUAGAAUCUUGUACCAUGGCCUUCAAAAUUGUCAGCUUUAAUUUAAGAUUAGUGUUUAAUAUAGAAUAUGGAGAUCAAUGCAAUUGAUAUGAUUGAAUAAAAAAGUCCUUGUAAGGAUAUAUGGUGCACAUUUUUAAAUGCAACAAGUUCAAUAAUUGGUUUAAAUGUAAAAAUAAAUUGUGUCUAGAGAUAUCUGUCCUGGCCUGGGGUGAUGCUUUAUUGGUUUUUGCAUUUCACUAACUGAUGUGCUUUCAUGUAAAAUCAAUAUUAUUCAGUCAAAUAUAUUUUGCUGUGUUGUACAGUAAGCUCAGUUAUCCAAAAUAAAAUAUU